CAGUAGCCGCGGGAAUACAGAGGGUGCAAGCGUUAAUCGGAAUUACUGGGCGUAAAGCGCGCGUAGGUGGUUUGUUAAGUUGGAUGUGAAAUCCCCGGGCUCAACCUGGGAACUGCAUCCAAAACUGGCAGGCUAGAGUAGGGCAGAGGGUGGUGGAAUUUCCUGUGUAGCGGUGAAAUGCGUAGAUAUAGGAAGGAACACCAGUGGCGAAGGCGACCACCUGGGCUCAUACUGACACUGAGGUGCGAAAGCGUGGGGAGCAAACAGGAUUAGAACCCCUGUAGUCCCUGUCUCUUAUACA
rnacentral:rRNA from 1 species